UGCGGGGUGGAGCAGUUGGCAGCUCGCAAGGCUCAUAACCUUGAGGUCACUGGUUCGAAUCCAGUCCCCGCUACCA
rnacentral:tRNA from 4 species